CAGAGGGGGCAAGCGUUAUUCGGAAUUAUUGGGCGUAAAGGGCGCGUAGGCGGCUUGGCAAGUGGAUGGUGAAAUCCCUCGGCUUAACCGAGGAACUGCCAUCCAGACUGCUUUGCUUGAGGCCGGGAGAGGUGAGUGGAAUUCCCAGUGUAGCGGUGAAAUGCGUAGAUAUUGGGAGGAACACCAGUGGCGAAGGCGGCUCACUGGACCGGUUCUGACGCUGAGGCGCGAAAGCGUGGGGAGCAAACGGGAUUAGAUACCCCGGUAGUCCACGCCGUAAACGAUGAAUGCUUGGUGUGACGGGUAUCGAUCCCUGUCGUGCCGAAGCUAACGCAUUAAGCAUUCCGCCUGGGGAGUACGGUCGCAAGGCUG
rnacentral:rRNA from 1 species